rnacentral:lncRNA from 1 species
UAGUACUAGCUAGUUUCCUACCAAAUAUAUAUAUAGUACUAGUGCAACUACACAUUGUGUUAAAAAAAAUGUCGGGCUUCUAAACAAGGUUGAUGUAUAACAUGAAUGAUGAAGAUACAUACUUCAGACUCCAACAUGUACAUGUUCAGCGGCUAUAGAAAUCAAUAUGUAUGUAUAUAUAUAUAUAUAUAUAUAUAUAUAUAUAUAUAUAUAUAUGCAUAUGCAUGUGUGAGAGAAUAUUGAUGAGGGGAUGUACCGUGUACGGUAGCUCUUGUCCCAUUGGCCAAUUCUAAAAGCAUUCAUGUGUAUUUUAUUAACGAUAUAAUAGUACGUGAAAAUAACAGAUGCAUCAUAAGUAAUAAUACUGGUAGUAAUUAUGGAAGAACAGCGGGAAGAAGACAUUAUCGAGGAGUGAGACGGAGACCAUGGGGGAAGUGGGCGGCUGAAAUACGGGAUCCCAAAAAGGCAGCUCGAGUUUGGCUAGGGACGUUUGACAUGGCUGAGGAUGCAGCACUUGCAUACGAUGAGGCUGCGUUGAGGUUCAAAGGCACCAAAGCCAAGCUUAAUUUCCCCGAACGGGUGGUCCAAGGAGGCAAGUACUCCCAAUCCCAACUGCGCUACCCUACCGCCGUCUCAUCAUCAUCAUUGUCUCGCCAGCAGUAUAAUCCAAACCCUCAAGAAGCAACGGAGACGAUGAUCAACCCGAGUAACACUAACGUUCCCCCCGACACGAUGACGAUGACUAAUUACCCUCAUCUUCUCCAGUACGCUCAGUUGCUCUCCAGCACCGAUGCAGAGCUGCCUUAUUACGCCUCGGCUCUCUACGAUCAGCAACAACUACUGCAACCUAAUCCCCAAAUCACAUCCCCUUCAGCUCAUGUUGUCACCCCAGACCUGCAUCGGCAACCGCAAGAAGAUUUUUCUAGUUUUUCCUCUGAACAGUGUGAUUACCAGAGCUUUUGUAGCUCCGAUUUUCUAAAAUACGGUAAGGAUUUUGAUCCUAAGAGCCCAGAUCACUAGUUGCCUUGUCGAUAGUCAGUCAUGUUGAUAUCAUUAGUGGCAGGAGGAGGAGCGAAAAAUUUGUGCUGGCUUCUAGUUUUUUAAUCCAAUGCACCAACAGCAUUAUGUGGUUAAAAUUUGGAUGUGCGUACGUACCGAUGUUUAAUGGAUGAUGGAUUUUGAUUCUCCAAAUUAGAGUAUCCGUAAAAUGUACGGCUAUUAACUUGGUCAUAGUGCUUGCAUUUAAGAAGAAGUAUUGUAUUACUAAUUGUCAGAGACGCCUUUUUUUUUUUUUUUUUUUUGGGGGGGGGGGGGGGGGGGUUGUUGAAAUUGAAAAGAGACGCAGACAUUAUAGCAUAUGGUUGGUGUUAUUGAGUCACAAUGUUUAGAAAGUGCUCUCAGGCAAAGAGGAGGAGUAAACAACUUUAAUCCCCAUGAUACCGUUGGUAUCAUGAUGCACCAAGUGCUCCCUUGGAAAUUCAUGUCUAAGUGAAAAUCUCCACUGGCCCCUAUUUUUCUGGGUUUAGAUGUCUUUCCCUCUUUGUGAUCUCGCUUAGCUAGGGUGGUUAAUGGGUAUUCAUCUUCUAAUUUUGUUUUCGAUUCUUUCUGUAUCUAUGUCAUUAUCUCGAAACUUAUAAAAUAGAAAAAGUCAUAUAACCCAAACCAGUCAGUUGUGAUCCCGAAAAGUUUGGUGCAAGUGACGAAAAGAUAUUUUUUUUAUUUUUGGCCUGAGGGAUGUGACCUAAAGAAGAAAAGAAACCAUCAAUAAAUAACCUCAUGCAUGAUGCAGUAAGGCAUAAAUGAUAGUCGCCCAGCAAUAAUAUCCCAGCAAAAAGUUGGCGAGGAAGCUUAGCAGAAGAAAGUUGGGUCGGGAACAAAGGUAAAGAAUCCAUGUCUUGAUUGAUUGACUGAAUAAGGAAGCCCUCCCUGGACCGUAGGCUCUUCUUACCCAGUCACUAUUACGGAAUCACGCGUCAGUGGCGGUGGCGGUGCACGUGAUCAAUCUUUUUCGCUCGCUCCCAAGUUGCGUAUAAUCAUUCAUACAUUCAUUUCAUUCUGUCGGAUUCUAAGAAAUUGGGGUGUCAAUCAAUCAUAGCGCAGGAUCGUCUUCGUCCUCCCCUCCGACAUCGCCAUCAAUUAAAUAUUUAGCCGAAAAUGGUGUUGGCGGAUGAUCUGGAUGGAGCCACUACCAAAAGAAAGGCUGUGAAUUUUGCUGGAGUAUUUAGACCAGGCGCACGCGGCAUGCAUCAUGCAUUGGGAUAUUCUAGCAAGCAAGCAUCAACCGUAGGGGAUUGAUCUUGGAAUUCGACCUGCGAUCGAUCGAGAGACUCUCGGAUGUGACGUGUGAUGACAAAGUAGGAGUGCAUAAAUGUGAUACGGCAUCAACACCUAAUGUAUAUUCAUCAGUUUAUUGGAUCAAACACAAACUUCAAAAUCCUAUCAGACAUCCUAGAUUAAUUCUGCAGGGACGUCUGGGUCAGGUGUAAUGGCAAUAAUCUUGACAUUCAUAUAUAUAAGCUUCCCUUUACCCCUCGGGAAUUGAACAAGAUCACGAGUGAAGUGAAGGGAGGUUUAUAAAGUUAAUAAUCAAAUGUCGAUCCCCAACUUUUUCCCGAUUCAUAGUCAAAUUAAGAAGGAUCAUGAAUUAGCCUGAGAGAAGCGGCGACGCUUUGAGAAAAGAUAAGGACAAGCAUGCAGGUCGUAGAGAGACCCCCCAAUUCCAAACUCCAAAAAAAAAAAGAAAAGAAACCAGCUGAUUUGGAUUUGUUGGGGUUGCAUGCAUGCAACAGUAUUGGUGGUGCCGUCAAUACCAAAGGAAUGUUGGUAAACAGGAGGAGCAAAAGUUUACUAACGGAGGUUUCUGCUGCAGCAUUAUUAUUAUUAUUAUUGCAUUAUGAGUAGUAAGUAUCUGAUUCUAAGAUUCCUGACGUGAAAGUUUAGUUUAUCCCGACACAGGCGUGAACUUCUUGUGGGGACCAUUCUUUCAUAAUUUUCUUUUUUAUUUUUUCGUUUCCUCCCUCAGGUUUUGGUUUUGGUAUGAAAGAAAGGCAAAGGCCCACCCACGAACCAAUUGAAAGUUGUCGCAUGAAUCUGUUGUAUAUAUCUUGGCCUUGGGGUCUGUCCCUCUGAUUCAUUAGGAAUGGAAAUGGAGGAGGUCUAAAAUCGAUCUAAAUAGAACUACUACUACUACCUAUGUAUUUUUUGAGCAAGGGAGUAGAGUGCAUUUUUUGACCGAAAAAAAUUGAGUGCAUUUACAUGAGAAAAGUUCACAUAUUGAUAUUGUUGCCUACGUAACCUCUAAUCUAUUUGAACACACACAUCUACAUGCAUAUAUAUAUAUAUAUAUAUAUAUAUAUAUAUAUAUGAGUUUCACUCAGAAAAAAAAAAAAAGACUCAAAAUCACUUAGGACUUGUUUUGAUUGCUUGUUUCCGUCGGAAAAUAUUGUCGUUUUCCGUGAUCACAUUUUCCUAUCAUUUUUUUCCCUCACAUAUAUCAAAUCGCUACAGUAAUUUUUCCAUAAAAAAUGACGGAAAAUGCAAUCCAAACACAACCUUAUUCUUAAGCGAUAAAUACAAAUAUAAAAAUUUUUACAAUUAAGGAGGCAAAUAUGAAAAUUUUUACAAUUAAGGAGGUUAGUUAUCUAUUUAAGUUGUUCAUGUAGUUUAAGUCGUAAUUUGGUACAGAAUCUUCCUAUAUUAAGAAAUUUGCUUUGCAUGUUGCUUUUGAUGAUGAUGAUGUUUGUCAAAUUCUUCAAUAUUUUUGGUUGUUCUCGAAUCAGUUUGUCCAGUGGUCAUCACCAUUAAAGGUGAUGCUGGAGGUCAGGGGUUCAAUCCCUGCCUCCCACAAAUUUGCCACAAUUUGUGGCGGUCUUAAUUGACCUUCAUCGAUGGAGUAUGUACUCACAUCGAACCCCCUCCCCUUCCCCUUAAACUAGGCUAGAUUAGGUUAUAGGACAUCUAUCGUUUCGACAAAAAAAAAAACAAUCAGUUUGUCAAAUUUUGCGGCUUCUUGGAUUGCGUGCUGUAAAUGUCAAAAAUUUGGCAUCACCACCGGCCACCGACUCCGACAAAUGCGGCACGCUUCCUUCCAUUUUGCGCUUAUAAUAAACCUUUGCCAACAUACAAUGCACGUGAUGGUUCUCCUUCUUCGCCGUGUUAUAUAACUAACCAUCCAUCUCUGCUAUAAUUUGCUUUACAUUUAUCAUUGCAAUUCCAGUUUUCCUGUCUAAUGCGACGAUCAUCACUUAGAACUCACUAGUUAACUUUUAUUCAUUCAUGCACGUAAAAAAGCGUGAAUAAAAUGAAAAGCAUGUCCUCUCCGUAACACUACUAGUUCCUUGACAUUAUUAAUAAUGAGAAUCACAUCACGGUGCUUCACCACUCUCUCUCUCUCUCUGUUUUCGUCAAUCCGCCGCUAUACCGUCUCUCUCUCUCUCUCUCUCUCUCUCUGUAAAUUCAUUAUUGAUAUCCUCAUAAUAAUAAUAAUUAUGCGGGAAGUUCUACGGUCCCUUCAGAGUGUAAGUUAUCGUAAGAGUUAUCAAUUUUUAAAUUAUUUUAAAUCACUAAAUGAUGUGUGAAUGAAUGACUGGAUCACAAGUUGGGCCAACGUUGAGAGAAGAUCAUUAAGGCCUCGCUUCAACUUUUAUGCGAGUUGUGGAUGGAGUUCAUGAUGUUUUAUGUGAAUAGAGUAGACCUUUACAAACGGGUGGGUUGGUCCAAAAGCCAUAAAAAAUCUCCUGAGCGAUCCGUUCCGGGGUUUGUCGGUUCGGGUUUGCUUUCCUCGGCUCCGCUCAUGACUCAGCUGCUCACCGCAAACUCCCACCACUGGCUCCAUUAUCUUCUUCAUCCAAAUUUAUUAUUAUAUCUAUUCUAAUUCCAAAACAGUUAUCUAUCCUCUUAAAAACCACGGCCACUCCUACGCCCGCCUCCGCCGAAUAAAACGCUGUAAUUUUCCUCAUCUUCAUUUCUAUCUCAAGUACGUACUUACGUAGCAGUAGCAGUAGUAUUCAAUUUGAUCGAAUUGUAUUCUUCUGAGGCUGGCUGGCUUUGAUUGAAGGAUUGCUAAUUGCAUGUUGCCAGUGAAUGAAUGGUUAAUUAUUGGAUGGUCUAUAUAAAUCUCAACAUUAGAUAGAUGGUCUAUAUAAAUCAUGAGCAAAUAGUCAAAGCUUCUGCUACGUUGGGUUUUUGUAUCUCUGACUGUUAAUUCUUCUUCUUCUUUCUUGAAAGUUGAUAUCUCGCGAAAUUCCGUAAGUCAGUCCGUCCCCCCUCCUUUGAAUCACUUGGACCUUCUAAAUAAAUAUCUGUAUGCAGUAGACAUGAGCUAUUGUACUUGCUGAGUGAUGAAUGACUUAUUUUCCUAAAUAUAAUAGGUGUAACCGGAAUCGAUUCUGGCAUACUUGAGAUUCAAAUACAAGAUAAAAAAAAUUGAUGGGAUAAGCACGGCCUUUCUUUUUUUUCUUUUUUUUUUUCAGAUUUUAUUUAUUUAUUUUUUUACUGUGUCUUUCUAUUCUUCAUGACUCCUGGCUUUUUUACUAGCUUGAAUUGUAUUCAGCUGACUAAAAUGCUCAAUCACUGGUUUCCAUAUUACUAUCAAUCCUUUGUUUUGUGUAUUUGCCACUAUUAACCUAUAUAACAACAGUGUCUGGGCACUCAUCACGCAUCGCGCAGUAUGAUCCAGUAAUACUUACCAGUUAACCAAUCAAAUUAGCAGACAGAACAGUGCCAAACUAGUAACUGGGAAUUCUGGCCGAUUGAUUGUGAUCCUCUUGUGGAAUCUGGAAAGGGGUAUCUAAUCUACCUUAGUAAUUUACCAACAAGAAGGAGACGAAGCAGCAGGCAUGUACUCGUGCCACAGUACUAGUAGUAGUAGUUUGUCAGCCUUGUCGCCGUUGUUGGUUAACUCGGUUGAUCCUCCUGGGCGACAGCUAAGGCUACCCUUGAAAUUGAAUAAUGCUCCUGUGGUUGGGUUGUGGCUGCAUAAUAACCCUAGGACUUCAAUUCCUCAGAGUAAAACCAUCACCACCAAGUGCCAGGCAGUGGGAGAAAGCAGCUCACAGCCAUCAGAAGAGGCAGUGGUGUAUCAAGGAGUUUAUG